UUUGUUUAUCAGACAGACAUGAUUUGGCUAAGAUCAAGUGUAGUAUCUGUUCUUUUCAGAUUAAUACAUGAAAUGUGGGGUACUCCCCCACUCUUGUAUUAAUUUGAUUUUUGAAACUCAGGGUUUGGCUUUGUGGCUUGCCGCACCAGUCCCACGGGUUGUCCUGGUAUUUCAGUACCUCCAGGUUCGGCCCACAAAGA